rnacentral:rRNA from 1 species
CCCCGGGAGGGGAGUGAAAGAGAACCUGAAACCAUAUGCCUACAAGAAGUCAGAGCCCGUUAAAGGGUGAUGGCGUGCCUUUUGUAGAAUGAACCGGCGAGUUACUGUAUGGAGCGAGGUUAAGCAGGAUAUGCGGAGCCGAAGCGAAAGCGAGUCUUAAGAGGGCGAGAGUUGCAUGCAGUAGACCCGAAACCGGGUGAUCUAGCCAUGACCAGGUUGAAGUUGGGGUAAAACCCGAUGGAGGACCGAACCGACCCCCGUUGAAACGUUGGCGGAUGAGUUGUGGCUAGGGGUGAAAUUCCAAUCGAACCCGGAGAUAGCUGGUUCUCCCCGAAAUAGCUUUAGGGCUAGCGUCGAGGUAAGUUGCGUGAAGGUAGAGCACUGAAUAUGUGAUGGCCCCAUCUCGGGGUACUGAGCAUAAUCAAACUGCGAAUGUCACGCCAACAUGCUCGGCAGUCAGACAGCGGGUGAUAAGGUCCGUUGUCAAGAGGGAAACAGCCCAGACCAUCAGCUAAGGUCCCAAAAUGUAUGCUAAGUGGAAAAGGAUGUGGAGAUGUACAGACAACUAGGAGGUUGGCUCAGAAGCAGCCAUCCUUUAAAGAGUGCGUAACAGCUCACUAGUCGAAUGACUCUGCGCCGAUAAUUUACCGGGGCUAAGCAUACUACCGAAGCUAUGGAUCCCAAGGGAUGGUAGGGGAGCGUUCCAUGAACGGAGAAGUACGACCGAAAGGACGUGUGGAGAUCAUGGAAGAGAGAAUGCCGGUGUGAGUAGCGGAACGUGGGUGAGAAUCCCACGCACCGAAAACCCAAGGUUUCCAGAGGAAGGUUCGUCCGCUCUGGGUAAGUCGGGACCUAAGGCGAGGCCGAAAGGCGUAGUCGAUGGACAACAGGUAGAGAUUCCUGUACCCGUAUAUAUGUGAAGGAAUGACGGAGAGAGGAAGCUGCAGCCAGCGGCUGGAAGAGCUGGUGCAAGCGAGAUAUCGGGAUGGCAGGCAAAUCCACCAUCCGAAACGAGAAGGCGUGAAGCGUACGGAAAGCUACGGCGAGUACGGAAGGCAGUGGAGGAACUUCCAAGAAAAGUUUCUAACGUUAAGUAUAUAUGGCCCGUACCGAAAAUGGACACACAUGGGUGAGGAGAGAAUCCUAAGGUGAGCGAGAGAACUAUAGCUAAGGAACUCUGCAAAAUGACUCCGUAACUUAGGGAGAAGGAGUGCUCAUAGAGAUAUGAGCCGCAGUGAAACGGCCCAAGCGACUGUUUACCAAAAACACAGCUCUCUGCUAAGCCGCAAGGCGAAGUAUAGGGGGUGACGCCUGCCCGGUGCUGGAAGGUUAAGGGGAGGGGUUAACGCAAGUGAAGCCCUGAACUGAAGCCCCAGUAAACGGCGGCCGUAACUAUAACGGUCCUAAGGUAGCGAAAUUCCUUGUCAGGUAAGUUCUGACCCGCACGAAAGGCGUAACGAUUUGGGCGCUGUCUCAGCUGUAGACUCGGUGAAGUCUUAGUACCUGUGAAGAUGCAGGUUACCCGCGACUAGACGGAAAGACCCCAUGGAGCUUCACUGCAGGUUGAUAUUGGGAUUUGAUGCAGCAUGUACAGGAUAGGUAGGAGGCAAAGAGAUGGAUACGCCAGUAUUCAAGGAGCCGCUGUUGGGAUACUACCCCUGUUGUAUUGGAUUUCUAACCGGACGACGUAGAGCCGUUGACGGGACAGUGUCAGUCGGGCAGUUUGACUGGGGCGGUCGCCUCCCAAAGAGUAACGGAGGCGCCCAAAGAUACCCUCAGCUUGGAUGGAAACCAAGCGCAGAGUGCAAAGGCAAAAGGGUGUUUGACUGCGAGACCCACAAGUCGAGCAGGGACGAAAGUCGGGCUUAGUGAUC